rnacentral:rRNA from 1 species
AUUGAACGCUGGCGGCAGGCCUAACACAUGCAAGUCGAGCGGAUGACGGGAGCUUGCUCCUUGAUUCAGCGGCGGACGGGUGAGUAAUGCCUAGGAAUCUGCCUGGUAGUGGGGGACAACGUUUCGAAAGGAACGCUAAUACCGCAUACGUCCUACGGGAGAAAGCAGGGGACCUUCGGGCCUUGCGCUAUCAGAUGAGCCUCGGUCGGAUUAGCUAGUUGGUGGGGUAAUGGCUCACCAAGGCGACGAUCCGUAACUGGUCUGAGAGGAUGAUCAGUCAGACUGGAACUGAGACACGGUCCAGACUCCUACGGGAGGCAGCAGUGGGGAAGAUUGGACAAUGGGCGUAAGCCUGAUCCAGCCAUGCCGCGUGUGUGAAGAAGGUCUUCGGAUUGUAAAGCACUUUAAGUUGGGAGGAAGGGCAGUAAGUUAAUACCUUGCUGUUUUGACGUUACCGACAGAAUAAGCACCGGCUAACUCUGUGCCAGCAGCAGCCGCGG